GUGCCUAACACAUGCAAGUCGAACGAGAAAGUGGAGCAAUCCAUGAGUACAGUGGCGUACGGGUGAGUAACACGUGACUAACCUACCCUCGAGUGGGGAAUAACUUCGGGAAACCGAGGCUAAUACCGCAUAACAUCUACGGAUCAAAUGCGUAAGCAGCUUGAGGAGGGGGUCGCGGCUGAUUAGCUAGUUGGUGAGGUAACGGCCCACCAAGGCAAUGAUCAGUAGCCGGCCUGAGAGGGCGCACGGCCACACUGGAACUGAAACACGGUCCAG
rnacentral:rRNA from 1 species